rnacentral:misc_RNA from 1 species
UACCGCGGUCCAUAAGAUCGUUCCACGCUUGACCAAAAGGCCGUCCUUCGGGGCGGCCUUUUUUUGUUUCAGCG